CUGAAGGUGGAGCAGAGACACGUGGCCACGAGCCACGAAAUGCCCAGAGACACCAGGAGCUGGGAAAAGUGAGGAAUGGAUUCUCCCUCAGCCUUCCAGAGGGAUCGUGGCUCUGCCAGUACCUUGAUUUGGGGCUUCUGGCCUCCAGAACUACAAGAGAGUACGUUUCUCUCGCUUUAAGCCACCAAGUUUGUGAUCGCGUGUUACAACAGCAUCAAGAAAUGAAUAGAGCUUCAUACAAAAAGGUUAGUGCGGUUGUCUCCCCAUCAUGUUUGUGUUCUAGAAAGCUUUUAAGUUACGGGACUCUAUGUCACUAGCAAGGCUCAAAGGAGAAACUUGCUUCUGGUUCUGUAUUUUGCAUCCAGCAUAAGAUAGAUAAACAAGAAAAGCUUCUCUUGUCCAUUCGUGUUUGUUUGUUGAGAGAGGAUGCAAGUAAACCUGCAGGGGAGAGAGGGUGGGGGCAGAGAGAGGAGCAGGGGCUCAUCGAGGCAGGACUCGAGUUCACCCGAAGCGGGACUCAAACUUACGAACCAUAAGAUCAUGACCUGAGCCAAAGUCAGAUGCUUAACCCACUGAGCCACCGGGGAGCCCUCACGUUUGUUUCUUAAUAGCUGGGAUGAGAAUGAGGAAACCUGACGCGCCACCACAGUUAGGUUGGUUCUGGACUAACACGUCCAGCAUUUUCUUUUUAAAUUUUUUUUUCAUUUUGAGAGAGACAGAGAGACAGAAGCCCAAGCAGGCUCCGUGCUGUCCAAUUCAGGGUUUGAACUCACAAACCAUGAGAUCAUGCCCUGAGCCGAAACCCAGAGCUGGAUGCUGAAGCGACUGAGCCACCCAGGCUCCCCAACACGGAUUAUCUACAUUUUUAAUCUCUGGAGGGUGCAAUAGUUUUCCUUCACAAAGACCUAGAUCUGCCUGCGCCCGGCGUUUCAUGUGAAUGGAAGCCUACGGCAUGUGGUCGGCGGUGACUGGCUUCGUUCACUUAACAACGUUUUCAAGGUUUGUCCACGUUGUAGCAUGUACCAGUACCUCGUACUUUUUUAUUGGCAAAUACUUGAUCGUAUGAGUCUACUGCAUUUUAUCCAGCAACUGAAGGACAUUUGGCUUGCUUUUAUGAACUAUGCUGCUACGAAUAUUUGCGUACAAGUUUUUGCGUGAACGUUAAGUUUUCCUUCUGUUGGGUGGGUGUGUACCUAAGGAGGGCAACUGCUGAGUCACAGAGUAACUCUAACCUUUUUGAUUAAGAACGGCCAGACCGGUUCCCCAAGUGGCCAGACCGUUUUACAUCCCCACCAGCAACGCACAAGACUUUCAUCACCUCCAACUUUUUGGUUCUAGCCAUCCUAGUGGGGGGUGAAGCUGAUUUGCAUUUUCCUGAUGACCCGUGACCUUAAGCAUCUUUUCUUGUGCUCAUUGGCCACGGCUACCUGUUUUUGUAAAUACAGGUGAUUGGAACACAGCCACAACUCCUUGUUUAUACGUUGUUGAUGGCUGCUCUUACACUGCAGUGGCAGGGUUGGGUAGCUGUUUUGUGUGUGGCUCCUGAAGAAAAGACGGUCAGGUUCUCGACUUUGGGGUAGACAGGGCAGGCAUUUGAACGCGGGAAGGAAGGAAUCCCUGAUGGAUAGUUUGCCUGUCCGGUGCUCUUCCCAGGUAGAGACGAGCACAGAGAAGCUGAAGUGACAGCAGGGCCAGUGGAAUAAAAAGCCGGAGCCUAAGUAAUUCCAACGGUACUUGCCGACGGCCACUGUAGGGAUGGAAUGCCAGGAUCCGACAGGAAACAAGCUUUCGUGUGGAAGGGUUGGUGUCUCAGGAUGGCAUGUCUUACUGCCGGAAAACAGGGCUGUGACGCUUCCUGUACAGAUUUUGCCAGCCGAGGCUGUGAUCGUAGGCUAGCUCCCCUCCCCGCCCCCACGAGCACGUCUCCAUCUGACUUAGGCACUGUUCACAGGUGGGCAUGUCAGGCUCCUUCCAACUGAGUCACUGCCUCACGCGUUUGGACUGCCUGUCUCUGUUGGGAGUUUUCUGCAUGUUUCCACUUCUUAAAUCCCAGGCUUCCUUCUCUGCUCUGGUGCUCAUGGCCCUGAUUUUAUACCCUCUUUCUUGCCCUUCUGAGGGGGAAAAUAGUGCUUUUCUGCAGUGCCUGGACACUGUAGUUCAGGGAGGCAAGUAGCCCUCAAAUGUCCCCAUUACAUUUUCCCCAGCAUCUUCCUUCACACCCCUCCAUCGAUUGAUCAUAGAAAAGACUCCCCCCCCCUCCCCCGCCCGCCCAAUUUCCUUACUCAAUCUUCAGUGAGGCCUUGGGUUUGCUCUCAGCCCAGGUGAAGCGCUUCAGCAAGGGGGAGGCCAGCAGAGAGCCACUGUCCAUCUGGUAAUCCUGGUGGGGGGGGGGGGGAGGAAAAAGGGUUACACUUCUUGCCUCACCCAGAGGGGGCCACGCUGAGUGUGGGGGGGGGAUAAUACUUGGCUGCACACUCAAAGUCACCCCAAGCUCUGUCCUCACCUGCCUAUUAAGACAAAGCAUUUUCUCCAUAGGGGGCAAAUCUACAUUUUGUUGCAAGCAAUGCCUAUUAUUCCCAGUGACUUGGAGGCCCUUAUUUCCCGAAGGGGAAGGAAAUGCAUUUAAACACAAGGGAAAACUGCAAGUAACAGGUAUAAAAGACAUUUGGGGAACUUACGGAAACCUGAAUAUUUAAUAAUAUUAAGAAACUAUCAAGGGACGCCUGGAUAGCUCAAUUGGUUAAGUGUCUGACUUCGGCUCAGGUCAUGAUCUCCUGGUUCGUGGGUUUGAGCCCUACUUUGGGCUCUGUGCUGACAGCUCAGAGCCUGGAGCCUGCUUCUGAUUCUGUGUCUCCCUCUCUCUCUGCCCCUCCCCUGCUCAUACUCUCUCUCUCUCUCUCUCUCAAAAAUAAAUAAACAUUGAAAAACAGAACUACCAAUUUUUUUCUGUGUGUGAUAAUUUUGAUGUGGUAACACAGGAGAAAGAUCUUACAAGAUUUAGGGUAGAACGUUAUAACGCCCGAAGCUCUCUUUCAAACAGUUGGGCAAAAAGAACCACAUACAUGCAGAGUAUAUGCGUAGAGACAAAAUAGGGCAAAAUGUUAACUGUGUUUGAAUUUGGGAGGUGAGCUUUUUUUUCUGUUUGAAAAUUUUAUAAUGUAAAGCUGAGGAAGGAAAGAAAUCUUACCUGA